UUAACAUCCUCUAAUAUACUGACACGUGGCAUGGAUAUUUUUUUAAUAAAACAAAAAAGAGAAAACAACCUUACUCUCUUUCUCUUUCUCGUUACAGCCAUCAUAUUUCUUUUUCUUUUUUUUUAAAUAAAAAAUAAAAAUAACAUAAAAUAUAAAAAAAACUCCACAUUAUAUCAAAACUAAACUUGAACCCAUGCUCACACUUAUUUCUUGUUUUCUAUCAUGUAAAUUCUAGAUUUUCACUAAACUUUGAACAAAGACUUAAUAUUAAAAUAAGAGGAAAAAAAAGAAGAAGAAAUUACCCUCAGUGGUGAGCUGCAACGGUUGUUAUGGUUUGAUUCCUCUUAAUCUGGUUUCAACAGCUUAUCACAUAUUACUUUUGUUGUAGUGAUAGAGAGGUCGGUUUCAUGGUGGUGGUUGUGUUUGAUAGGUGGUUGGAUCAACCGUUGUGCUGGGCCGAGAGAGAAAUAAAGCGUUGAAGACAAAGUUGUUAUGUUGUUGUUGUUCCGAUGACGAUGAUGCUCGGUUUAAAUGGAAAGAAACGGUUUUGAUGGUUUGUUNNNNNNNNNNNNNNNNNNNNNNNNNNNNNNNNNNNNNNNNNNNNNNNNNNNNNNNNNNNNNNNNNNNNNNNNNNNNNNNNNNNNNNNNNNNNNNNNNNNNNNNNNNNNNNNNNNNNNNNNNNNNNNNNNNNNNNNNNNNNNNNNNNNNNNNNNNNNNNNNNNNNNNNNNNNNNNNNNNNNNNNNNNNNNNNNNNNNNNNNNNNNNNNNNNNNNNNNNNNNNNNNNNNNNNNNNNNNNNNNNNNNNNNNNNNNNNNNNNNNNNNNNNNNNNNNNNNNNNNNNNNNNNNNNNNNNNNNNNNNNNNNNNNNNNNNNNNNNNNNNNNNNNNNNNNNNNNNNNNNNNNNNNNNNNNNNNNNNNNNNNNNNNNNNNNNNNNNNNNNNNNNNNNNNNNNNNNNNNNNNNNNNNNNNNNNNNNNNNNNNNNNNNNNNNNNNNNNNNNNNNNNNNNNNNNNNNNNNNNNNNNNNNNNNNNNNNNNNNNNNNNNNNNNNNNNNNNNNNNNNNNNNNNNNNNNNNNNNNNNNNNNNNNNNNNNNNNNNNNNNNNNNNNAAAAAAAGAAGAAGAAAUUACCCUCAGUGGUGAGCUGCAACGGUUGUUAUGGUUUGAUUCCUCUUAAUCUGGUUUCAACAGCUUAUCACAUAUUACUUUUGUUGUAGUGAUAGAGAGGUCGGUUUCAUGGUGGUGGUUGUGUUUGAUAGGUGGUUGGAUCGACCGUUGUGCUGGGCCGAGAGAGAAAUAAAGCGUUGAAGACAAAGUUGUUAUGUUGUUGUUGUUCCGAUGACGAUGAUGCUCGGUUUAAAUGGAAAGAAGCGGUUUUGAUGGUUUGUUCGGCGGUUGCAAAGGGACCGGCGCGGUGGUCGUGUUUGUUCACAAGUUAUGAGGGUUGUUUCCGUUGGAGGUUGUUGUGAAGGAAGAAAAGAUAUGAUAAGAGUUAUAAGGAGUUGAAAGGUGAAGAGAAAGAAGAGAGGUUUUAGUUUUUAUUUUUAUUUUUUCCUUAGUGAUAGAUGUGAGAGAUGUGUGAUGUAAGUGAGAGAGGUGAUGAUGAAUAUUUGUGUAGCAGAAAAAAAUGAUGUGAUGCAGGAAGAAAAGAAGAAGUACCCGUGAGGGAAUAGGAGAAAUAGGGGAGAAAAUAUCUUUUGCCUUUUUUUUUCUUCUGAAAAUUUACCUUCAUGCUAUAAUAAGUGACAUAAAAUGGAAGCCUUAUUUCCACUAUACACACAUGUCCUCCCGUUAUUUUUUCUAGUUUUUUUUUAAAAUAAAUCAAAUCUCCCCAUCAGUCGCUGGCCACGUGUAGCCUCAAUUAGGAAGAGUUUGAAGACAUUUGUUGAUUUUCUUUGUUUUCCUUAGUUUUAAAAAUGCUAAAAAGAUUUUUUUUAUAAUUUUUUUAAAAAAAAUAGCACAAAAAUAGAAAAUUAAAUUAAAUUUUAAAAACAUAAAUAAUUUCACCGAUUAAUUUGGAUAAACAAUAAAAAUAAUCAGGAAAAUGAUGAAUAAAAAUCGGACGCCAAAAGUGACCAAAAAAAAAUAAACUUAACAUAUUAAAAUGAUCAGUGCAAAAUAAACUUUUCGUAAACAUAAUGGUUUUGGUCAAAUUUUUGAAAUAUAUUUUGACCGGUUAAAUGGCUCAGGCGGAUAAAAUUGAGAUCGAAAAAGUAGUCGAAAAAUUAAAACUAGCAUGCCAAGUUAAACCACACGAAUCGUAGAUUAAGAAAACUGACGUCUUCAAGCUCAAUUUUGAAAUUUUUCGCCCGCUAAUUCGACGUACAGUUGAGAAACUAUGCGACUGGUCUGUCGGUAGAUCCGAAAAAUUAACCUAGCUGAAAUUUCAAGCACUAUGCGAAACAAAAUGCAUGUUGUGACAAGUAUAAAAUGCAAAUGUCUGUUGAAUGUACUGAUUCAAUGAUUAAAUAAAUAUAAAUAGACAAUGGAUGCAAAUGAAUCACCCUUGAACCAUUUGCUUCCCUUUCUCAAACACAAACAAAACCCUACACAUACUCAGACAAUGAAAACACUCUUGAUUAUCACCCUCUAAACCUCUGAAACAAGAUGCAACAGAAUAAAUUAUGCACUGAGAUUGAGAAAUCAAGUCUUUCGACUUCUCAAUCAACAUAUGACUGAAUGAAUAUCACCCUCUAAACCUCUGAAACAAGAUGCAACAGAAUAAAUUAUGCACUGAGAUUGAGAAAUCAAGUCUUUCGACUUCUCAAUCAACAUAUGACUGAAUGAAUAUUAUCAAGAUCAGAUAAAAUGUCAGAACUCCUAACCUUUUUUAUAUAAACUCUGAUAAAUGCUUUUUAACUAAUGAAAUGCACGACAAAAAUGGAUCGGUUCAUGCUAUGCUGAUGCGAGUGAAAAACUCAGGGUGAAAUUUAGGGUAUGACAGUUGCCCCUAUUUAAACAUCUUUAACCGGAGGAUAUAAAGAACUCUUGUCUUCAAAUCAUCAUGGUAAAAGAUAGUUUAAAUACCAAACAGACCCAAAUUUUGCCCUUCUAAUAUAGAAGAAUGACAUGCUUAUGAUUAUGACCGAAUGCAUUUGGAUUUAAGAAAUACUCUUGAUUUCUUGAUCAACAGACGAUAAUGCAAAUGAAUGCAACGAGAUUUAAGAAAUACUCUUGAUUUCCUAAUUGUCGGGCGAUAGGGAUGCAAUGAAGGUUAAAAAGUACUCUUGACUCCUUAAAAAAAAUGAAUGCAAUCAACAGACGAUAAUGCAAAUGAAUGCAACGAGAUUUAAGAAAUACUCUUGAUUUCCUAAUUGUCGGGCGAUAGGGAUGCAAUGAAGGUUAAAAAGUACUCUUGACUCCUUAAAAAAAAUGAAUGCAAAUGAAUUAAGAAAUACUCUUUAUUUCUCAAUUAUAUGAAUGAAAAAUGAUAUGGAUGUUAAGAAAUACUCUUGACUCCUUACAAAUGAAUGAAAAUGAAUUAAGAAUUACUCUUGAUUUCUUAAUCAUGAAUGCAAAUGAGAAAUUCUCUUGAUUUUCUCAAAUGAAAUGCAAAUGAAUUAAGAAAUACUCUUGAUUCCUUAAUCAUGAAUGUGAAUGAAUUGAGAAAUGCUCUUGAUUUCUCAGAUGAUAUGCAGAUGAGUUAAGAAAUGCUCUUGAUUUCUUAAUCAUGAAUGUAAAUGAAUUGAGAAAUACUCUUGAUUUCUCAUAUGAUAUGCAGUUGAGUUAAGAAAUACUCUUGAUUUCUUAAUCAUGAAUGUAAAUGAAAUUGAGAAAUGCUCUUGAUUUCUCAUAUGAUAUGCAACUGUGUUAAGAAAUACUCUUGAUUUCUUAGUCAUGUGAAUGCAUAUGAGUUAAGAAAUACUCGUUAUUCCUUAAUCAUGAAAUGUAAAUGAAAUGAGAAAUACUCUGGAUUUAUCAAAUGAUAUGCAGAUGAAUUAAGAAGUACUCUUGAUUCCUUAACCAUGACUGUAAAUGAAUUGAGAAAUGCUCUUGAUUUCUCAAAUGACAUGCAAAUGACUGGGAAUGAGAGAAUCACGUUCAGUUGCUCUUGACUGACAUUAGGUCUCUGGGAUGGAUUUGUUAUAAGGUAACAUGCAUGACUGGUCUUCAGACGUUCUUCGUUGAAGGCAGACACUCCUAGGGGAAUAAAUGAUCAUAUUCAGCUGCUUUUGGCUAAAGAUGUCAUAUUCAACAACUCUUGGCUGAAACUGAUGCAUUCAAUGACUCUUGGUUGAAGCAAAAACUGUAAAAUAAAAUAGUGUUCAACUGCUCUUGGCUGAAACUACUGCACAAAAUAAAAUGGUGUCCAACUGCUCUUGGCUGAAACUAAUGCAUUCAACUGCUCUUGGUUGAAGUAAACUGCUGGAAAAAAAAUAGUAUUCAGCUGCUCUUGGCUAAAACUAGUGCAUUCAAAUGCUCUUGGUUGAUGCAAAUUGAUGGAAAAUAAACAAAAUGCUUCCUUUAGGGAAUAACCACAUGUUCAGCUGCUCUUCGCUGACAGAAGACUCUUUUGGGGAAUGAGAAGAUCCCAGAGACUUGCUGGGGAGUUCAUGAAAUUUUGCUGGAGAAAAUACAAUGUUGGAGAAACUCUGUAUGGAGAUAUCUAUUGGGGAAACCAAGCAGAAAUUCCGUUGACACCAGAUUUCCAAUGGGAGAACAUCAAUCACCUUGUUGGGGAAUAAACUCGCCUUGAGAAUAAUCACUUAAAAAUGAUUGACUUCUGUAAGUGUUUACUGAAGAAAAGAAUUGUUCUACUGUAAGUGUUCACUUAAAAAUGAUUGAACUUUCUUGAGAGGUUGCUGAAUUCGGUUGAGGUUUAUGCAUGAUCUGUUUUUGUACAUGAUAUGCAAAAUGAAUGUGAAUGCAUGAAUAUAUUAGUUUAUUCAUUUUGUGGGUAUCAAGCUCGGAUUCCCCAACGCCUUGUCUUGAAUAGCACUGACACCAUGAAAUAAUUUUUUUUGUUGUAAAAAAAACUCUGAUUUCAGCUUUUCCGCCAAGCGGGCUUCAAUGAGGACUUCUUGCUUCUUGGAAGAAAAUCCAUUUCAAACUUGCCUUAGAUUUCAAUGAUCCAGGAAAAGUCCCACGUCUUGUGAACCAGAUGCAUUAUUGUAAACCAACAAAAAUUCCUUUUAUACUUUCAAAAUCAAAACAAAUUAAAGUUUUCAAAAGCUUUGUCGUUUCCACUAUUUUAAUGUUUUUAUCUUAUCAAAAAUAAAAAGCGACAUUAAGCAGAAAAACAGAAACAAUUGGUAAAGCAAUGUUCAACUGAACAUUUUUAUUUGAUGAGAAGAAUAACUCAUACAUGGGGUUCAUGAAGAUGUAAACCCCUCUAAGAGGAGAUUACAGAGAAAGAAAGCAAGUAAAUGGCAACAAAAAUUUAACUGAUUUUCCAACGAAAUACAACUUUGCUACUUUCCCCUAUGUCCUCUAGUCCUCAUUACUUUGCUUCUGGAGAUGGUAAUUGGACUGUUUUCUUCCAUCUGAGCUUUAUUGUAGUGUUGACUUGUGUCGCUGCAGUAUUAUGCUUUUGGAUAUUCCCUAACUUUUGCGCGAACUGCUCCUUAAGAGUUUCAGUUCACCGGGAGAUUUUACCCUUUUUUGCUUAAGUCGCCCUUUCGGGUUUUCGACUUACCGGGCUUAAUUUUUUUUUUUAUCCCUAAUUUUUGCCUGAGCCGCCCUUUCGGGUUUUCAACUCACCGGGAUGCUCAUUUUUUUGCCUAAGUCGCCCUUUCGGGUUUUCAACUUAGCGAGCUUUUAUUAUCCAUCUCUUUUUCUUAGGCAUAAUACUUUCUGACUGCAUCAGAAUUGACGGGGUGUGUCAACUCUUCUCCGUCCAUGUUGGUGAGAACUAAAGCUCCACCAGAGAAAGCUUUCUUCACCACAAAUGGUCCUUCAUAGUUUGGAAUCCACUUGCCACGUGAAUCCUUAUGGAGGGAGAUUAUAUUUUUCAAAACUAGUUUACCUACAUUAAACUCUCGAGGUCGAACCUUCUUGUCAAAUGCCCGCUUGAGCCUCCUCUGAUAUAACUGACCAUGACACAACGUUGUCAUCCUCUUUUCUUCUAUUAGAUUGAGCUGGUCAAAUCUGGUUUGAAUCCAUUCCGCUUCUUCUAACUCUGUCUCCAUCAAGACUCUCAACGAGGGGAUCUCAACUUCUAUCGGUAGCACAGCCUCCAUGCCAUAGACUAGUGAGAAAGGGGUUGCCCCUGUUGAAGUGCGAACAACUGUUCGAUAUCCGUGCAAAGCAAAGGGUAGCAUCUCGUGCCAAUCUUUACUAGUGAGAAAGGGGUUGCCCCUGUUGAAGUGCGAACAACUGUUCGAUAUCCGUGCAAAGCAAAGGGUAGCAUCUCGUGCCAAUCUUUAUAAGUUUUCACCAUCUUCUGAAUGAUCUUCUUGAUAUUUUUGUUAGCUGCCUCUACAGCUCCGUUCAUCUUUGGCCUAUAAGGUGACGAGUUAUGAUGUUCAAUCUUGAAAUUCUCGCAUAAUUCCUUCAUCAUCUUAUUAUUCAGGUUUGAUCCAUUAUCAGUGAUAAUCUUGCUAGGAGUUCCGUAGCGACAAAUUAUCUCUUUCUUGAUAAACCGAGUGACAACUUGCUUUGUCACAUUGGCAUAAGAAGCUGCUUCUACCCACUUAGUGAAGUAGUCAAUGGCAACCAGAAUGAACCGAUGUCCAUUUGCAGCUUUAGGCUCAAUCAUACAAAUCAUGUUUAUGCCCCACAUGGAGAAUGGCCAUGGAGAUGAUAAAACAUUCAGAGGAGUAGGUGGCACGUGCACCUUGUCAGCAUAAAUUUGGCACUUGUGGCAUUUCCUGGCAUAGUGGUAACAAUCUGUUUCUAUUGUCAACCAAUAGUAACCAGCUCUUAGGAUUUUCUUCGCCAUCGCAUGUCCGUUUGCAUGAAUGCCGAAAGAACCUUCGUGGAUUUCUUUGAUGAGUAGGUCGGCUUCGUGUCUAUCCACGCAUCUGAGCAGAACUAAAUCAAAGUUUCUUUUGUAUAGAACACCACCACUUAGGAAGAAAUUGGUUGAUAAUUUCCUCAAGGUCUUUUUGUCUGUGAUGGAUACAUCAUUUGGAUACUCAUGCUUCUCAAGAUAUCGCUUGAUGUCAUAAAACCAAGGCUUUCCAUCUAUUUCUGCUUCAACUGCCAAGCAAUGUGCUGGCUCGUCUAGACGUUGAAUUGUAAUAGCAGGUGAUUCGUUAGCCCACUUGACCUUAAACAUAGAUGACAGAGUAGCCAAGGCAUCGGCUAGCUGAUUCUCCUCCCUAGGAAUAUGAUGGAAAUUAAUCUCAUCAAAGUAGGGGAUUAGCUUCAUGACAUGCUCUCGGUAUGGGAUCAAAUUGGGGUGGCGGGUCUCCCAAUCUCCUUUGAUUUGAUAGAUGACAAGUGCUGAGUCCCCAUACACUUCAAGAAUCUUGAUUCGUAGGUCAAUAGCUGCUUCAAUUCCCAAGAUACAUGCUUCAUACUCCGCCAUGUUAUUGGUGCAUUGGAAACAUAACCUUGCCGUGAAGGGAAGAUGAAAAUCCUUUGGAGAAGUUAUAACAGCCCCAAUUCCGUUACCCAAUGCAUUUGAGGCACCAUCGAACACGAGCGUCCACCGCGAUCCUGGUUCGGGUCCUUCUUCCGGGCCUGGAAUCUCAUAGUCUCUUAUGUACAUGACGUCUUCAUCUGGGAAGUCGAGUCUCAUCGAUUGAUAGUCCUCCACUGGCUGGUGCGCAAGGUACUCUGAUAACACACUACCCUUAAUGGCCUUCUGAGUUACAUACUGAAUGUCAUAUUCUGAUAACAACAUUUGCCAGCGAGCGAUUCUGCCAGUUAAUCCAGGUUUCUCGAAGAUGUACUUGAUGGGAUCCAUCUUGGAUAUUAACAUUGUUGUAUGACAAAUCAUAUACUGUCUCAGACGACGAGCAGCCCAUGCUAAUGCACAACAAGUCUUUUCUAGCAUGGAGUACCUGAUUUCACAUUCUGUAAACUUCUUGCUCAGGUAGUAGAUAGCAUGCUCUUUUCUACCCGUCUCAUCGUGUUGCCCCAGUACACAUCCCAUGGAUUCAUCGAGUACUGUCAAAUACAUAAUGAGAGGCCUUCCUGGAACUGGUGGCACUAAGAUUGGUGGUUCUUGCAGAUACUGUUUGAUUUUAUCGAAUGCACUCUGGCAAUCAUCGUUCCACCUAACAGCUUGAUCUUUUCUUAACAACUUGAAUAUUGGCUCGCAAGUGGCUGUCAGAUGCGAGAUGAAUCUGGAAAUAUAGUUCAAUCUGCCCAAGAAACCACGGACUUGCUUCUCUGUCCGAGGUGCUGGCAUCUCUUGAAUAGCUUUGACUUUGUCAGGAUCAACUUCUAUGCCUCUCUGGCUCACAAUGAAUCCUAGAAGCUUUCCAGAUCUGACUCCAAAAGUGCAUUUAGCAGGGUUUAAGCGCAGUCUGUAUUUCCUCAAUCUUACAAACAACUUCUUCAGAUGAAUAACAUGCUCCUCUUCUGUCUGAGACUUGGCAAUCAUGUCAUCCACAUAGACUUCAAUCUCCUUAUGUAUCAUAUCAUGGAAAAGAGUCACCAUGGCCCUUUGAUAGGUUGCCCCAGCAUUUUUCAGGCCGAAAGGCAUUACCUUAUAACAGAAAGUGCCCCAUGGUGUAAUGAAAGUUGUUUUCUCCAUAUCUUCGGGAGACAUUUUAAUCUGAUUAUAUCCUGAGAAUCCGUCCAUGAAGGAGAAUACAGAGAACUGAGCUGUGUUAUCUACCAAUACAUCAAUGUGAGGUAAAGGAAAAUCAUCUUUGGGACUAGCUCUAUUCAGGUCUCUGUAGUCUACACACAUUCGAACUUUUCCAUCUUUCUUCGGAACUGGCACAAUAUUAGCAAUCCACUGCGGAUAAGUUGCAACAGCUAGAAAACCUGCAUCAAACUGCUUCUUGACCUCUUCUCUGAUCUUGACAGCCAUGUCUGGUCGAGUUCUUCUCAACUUCUGCUUGAUGGGCGGGCAUUCCGGCUUCAACGGCAGCUUGUGCACAACUAUGUCGGUGUCGAGUCCUGGCAUAUCCUGAUAUGACCAAGCAAACACAUCCACAUAUUCAUGUAGUAGCUUGACUAGUUCCUCCUUCACAUUUUUUUUCAAAGCAGUUCCGACCUUGACUUCCUUUCUAUCCUCCUCAGUCCCCAGAUUGAUCACAUCCACUGGUUCCUGAUGAGGCUGAAUCAUCUUUUCCUCUUGUUUCAAAAGUCUGGUCAACUCUUCUGGGAGUUCGCAGUCUUCCUUACCAUCCUCUUCAGCUUGGUUAAUCGGGAGGUCGAAGUCAUAGGGAAUUAUAGCAUUGUCGUGUUCAAUGGAUCCAGUUAUUAAUGAUCUGCAUGGAAAUGAUUUUUCUUUUUAGCGGAAGAUUUUGAAAAAUGAAAGUGAUGUGAAAUCAAAAUUGCCAUUUUUUAAUUUUGUUGUUUAUUUAUUUGUAAAAAAAUUAAAAAGAUGAAAGACAGGGAUCUAAAAAAAUGUGCUUUGUAUUGAUGAUAAGGCUUAAAUAUUAACACAAAAUGGGCCCUACAAAGCUAUCCAUAUGCCUUGGGCAUGGCAUUGGAUGUUUUUAGAAAACAGUAAAUUACUUUGAAAAAGAAACUAUAUCCGGAACAUCUGUUGCCUUCCAGUUAGUGAGAGCGGCAUCCGGAGGUCCACGAAACACCAUCUUGGACAAAUCUGGAUCUUCAUCUUCAAGAGCAUUCACUUGAUCAUCACUUCGGAAACCAGCUUUGGAGAAUAUUUCCUGGAUGCUAGGAACCUUCCCCUGAUGUAUAUUCUGAUCUUUGAAAAGUUCAAUAGACGGCUGAUAUCCUAAUCCACACUUGUCUUUCUUCUCUGGUAGUUCAAUCACUGUGCCCCAACUUCCAGGGCAACCAGCUUCAAUUGCAGCUUUCACACUCUUCCACGAGGUCAUGACCCCCUUGGGUUCUUCAACAAGUUUCGGCUUAGUCUGGACCACAUUGACCACUUCAAGGGCUUGGAGAGGAGUUUCAACAAUGUCUUCACCUACUUCAAUGUAUCUGAAAGAAGUCAAAUGGCUGACGAAAAUAUCUUCCUCUCCGGAUACUGAUAUCAGCUUACCAGAAGUAACAAACUUCAGCUUCUGGUGAAGUGUCGAGGUGACAGCUCCAGCAGCAUGAAUCCAAGGUCUACCUAAUAGACAACUAUAGGCAGGCCUAAUAUCCAUUACCUGGAAGGUAAUACGGAAAGUUUGAGGGCCAAUCAGGAUUGGGAGGUCAAUCUCCCCAAUAACUGUUCGCUUAGACCCAUCAAAAGCUUUAACUAUCAAAGCACUGGGUCUCAUCUGCACCCCUUCAAUAUUCAAUUGUGCCAGGGUAGUCUUAGGUAACACGUUCAAGGAUGAACCUGUAUCCACCAGUACUCGAGCCAAAGUAACAUCUGUACACUGAAUGGAGAUAUGAAGCGCCAUAUUAUGUUCUCGCCCAUUAGGGGGUAAGUCAUCAUCAGUGAACAUCAAACAACUACUAGCAUUGAGAUUAGCAACCACAUUAUCAAACUGAAUAACACUGAUGUCUUCUGCCACAUAAGCUUCGUUCAAGAACUUCAAUAGAGCAUUCCUAUGAGCCUCAGAACUCAUAAGUAGAGAAAGAAUGGAGAUUUUUGAAGGAGUUUGGUUGAGCUGAUCUACGACCUUGUAAUCACUUUUCUUAAUGAUCUUCAAGAAUUCUCUAUCCUCUUCAGCAGUCACUGCUUUCUUAGAUGAGCCUUCUCCUACUUCUAGAGGAUUCACCUCUUUCCCUUUCGUUGGUUCAACUGUUGGUACACUUUCUUUGUUUGGGAUCACUUCAGGAGCGAAAACCCUUCCACUUCGAGUCACACCACUAGCUCCAGCGAUGUUAGUCACAUCUGGCUCNNNNNNNNNNNNNNNNNNNNNNNNNNNNNNNNNNNNNNNNNNNNNNNNNNNNNNNNNNNNNNNNNNNNNNNNNNNNNNNNNNNNNNNNNNNNNNNNNGUGCACCCUUGCAGCCAAUUCUCUCCAGCGUUGUGCGUAUUCUUUAAAAGAUUCAUUGUCUUUCUGGGCCAUACUCUGAAGCUGAGUACGGUUUGGUGCCAUGUCAGUAUUAUAUUUGUAUUGCUUUGCGAAUGCUUCAGCCAACUCAUCCCAAGUGUGGAUGUUGCUACAUUCCAACUACAUGUACCAGUCCAAAGAUGCCCUAGUUAGACUGUCCUGAAAGCAAUGGAUCAUGAGCUUAUGAUCUCUGGCAUAGGCAGCCAUUUUUCUGCAAUACAUUUUCAAAUGUAUGUUAGGACACGUGAGUCCUUUGUAUUUUUCAAAUUCAGGCGCUUUGAAUUUUGGAGGAAUCACCACGUCUGGGACUAGACACAUCUCUAAGGCACUUAAACGGGUUGAGUUAUGUCCUUCCAAGAUUCUUAGCUUUCCAGCCAGAGCACGACACAUCAAGAUAGCCUCAGAAUCUUGGGCAGCAGUAGGGAUGACCACUGGAGUAGCUCCAUUGUAAUUCUGCAUUUCAAACUCGUCUUGGAGCUCCUCAUCAGUGCGGGGAAUGGCCACUUGAUUGACUAUCGGAGGUCCUUGCGCAGCGACUCCAUCAGCUACUCCAGAAGUAUGUGCAGGUGGAGGCACAUGAGUUCUUUCAGGCGGUGGAACAAAACCUGGAGGAAGACCGUAGAUAACGGGAUUUGGAAUAGGAACUGAAGGUCCUGACUGAAGAGCAACCCCUUGAACUAGAGCAUCGUUCCUUGCAGCAGCGGCAACACGAGCCUCUUCUUCCCUUCUAGCCAGAGCUUGUAUAGCCUCAAAGAUCUGCUCGAUCUUGCUUUUGACAGAGUCCAUCUCCUCUCUGAAGGCAGCUUGUUCUUCUCUAACUACAUCCAUGAUUCUUCUUGUGUUGGAGCGAGUAGCGUAUGCACGUUGAGGAAUCAGCUUGAACUACUGGACACGAGGAAAAAUGGAAUGAGUUUUUGUUUUGAGAAAUGAAAUGCAUGAUGCAUAUGUUAAUGCACGUGGAUUUAAAAAUGUCUUUUAUGCUUAUGUUCAAUUUUAUUUUCAGGGAACCGUGUUAGAUUCCUUGUAACUUAGCAAGCAUUCAAAGAGAUCACGGGGAAUAAAACAAGAAUGGAACCAAACUUUUUUGUACAAAAGAAACUCAAAAUCCUUCAUUCAUUCAAUUCAAAAUAGAGUACAAGGAUUGAGUACAAAAUAUUCUUUCAAACAUAAAGGAAAGUACAACAUAAAAAAAAGGUCAAACUGCAGGCUUCUGUUUGUUGAGAUCUUCCAACUCUCCUUUGAACCUUUUUAUCAUGUCUUCACAAAGAUAAAUAAAUUCAGUCACUGAACGAGGGAUGUUGUCAUUGUCUAUGUCUUCCAAAGCACAUCUUAGCAUCAAAGGCACAUUCGUAGCCAUGCCAUUACAGAAGUCUAUCAAACUGGCAAACUUGUCUCGAUACUCAUUUCUUUGUUCAUGUAAAAACUGGAUGGUUUCCUCGCAGGCUGCCAAACUAGCAUUCACAUUUUCCCUUGCGUUCAUCCAAUCUUCACCUUCUUGUAGCAAAGAGUCAUGUCGGCCUCUCCAGUAUCGUUCCCACUCAUUAGCAUUUUCAGCCUCCUGGCACUUUCCAUUCCACAUUUCAGGUGUAACCUGAGUAGCAGCCAUAACACUCUCUUUACUGCGGCGUUCUCGUUCUUCCCUUUCUUUUGAUUCAAAGAGUGAAACAUUGAGGUUGGCUAUCUCAGCCUCAAGCGUCUCUCUUAUCUCCUUUUUUUGUUUUGUGGCGAGCUUCCACCAUUUCUCUUUCUCACGACAAUCCCUCUCAGCCUCUUUCAGUUGGCUUUUGACGGUAUUCAAGCAGCUCUCAGCCUGAUCUAACCCCUGUUUGACUCUUUUUCUCUUAUAUUCCUCCUUAUCAGUCCUUUCCACAUUUGCUUGAAGUUGUGUUUUCUUCCGCCCAAGCUCCCACUUAUGAUUAUCCCUUUCUUCAGUAAUCCGGAGAAGGUUCAACCGUAGCUCUUCAUUCUCUUUUUCCAAACUUUGGAUGACAACUUUGAGCUCUUUAGCUUCCUCCAUAGUGACGUGAGUAGGUUCUGGAGGAUUUGUAUGCAUUGGAGGCUCAUAAGGGUAUGGUAGUUUGUCUUGAGAAGCUCUGGCUUGGACCCAACUUGUAUAUGGCCCUCUAGCUAUACAAUUCUUCUUUCCACGCUCCCUUUUUCCUUCUCUACGAACUUUAGUCCAGGCACGACCUAUCCUCUUCACCAGAUCAAAGUCCUUCACUCCUUCUCCCAGCAAGAAACCUUCUAACAACUUGUCUUCUGGUUUGUCAUUCAUAGGAAACCCAAGUUGCCGCAUAGCAAGCUCAGGAUUGUAAUUGAUGCAACCUCGAGUUCCUAUGAGUGGCACAUUAUGGAAGUUGCCACAUUUGACGAUUAUGUCCACAUCAUCAUAAACACGAGAGUACCAGGUGAUGUCAUUGGCAGUGAGAGACAUGAUUUUUUGAGACCACUUGAGGUUAUCCUUGUUCUGAACAAAAGGCCCUUCGCUUGGUAAGUGAGAUAAGAACCAUUUAUACAGUAAAGGAGCGCAACACUGGAUCAUCCCCCCCUUCUUCUCAUUUCUCCAAUGGAUAGAGUGAUAAACAUCUGCAAGCAAGGUGGGAAUGGGAUUCUUGAGCAAGAAAAUGCGUAUAGCAGUCAUGUCCACGAAGUCAUCAAUGUUCGGGAACAAGACAAUCCCAUAGAGUAUCAAGGCUAACACAGCAUUGAAAGCGACCCAAUCUUCUUUACUUUUGAAAUCUGAAGCUUUUCCCACUAAGAACUUCAAAGUGAAUCCCGAAGUGCCUCCUUUUGGUCCAAGAUUAGCCUUCACUUCCGCUUUAUCUAGAUGUAUAGAUGAACCUAUUUGUUGAUGUGUAGGAAAUUCCCCUAGACCGGUGUAAGGGACUUCAUCCUUGAUACCAAUGUUUGCUAUAUGUGAGAACUCUUCCAGUGUUGGCGCCAAUUGGAAGUCCUGGAAUGUGAAACACCGCAAGGGAGGAUCAUAGAAUUGUGCCAAAGUGAAAAUGGCCCAAGCAUCCACCUCGGUGUUCAUGAUAGUCAACAGGUCACCAUACUCAACACAAAAGUUGUUCCUUCUGAUUUUUUUCACAUCUGAGAUCAACCCCUUAAUCAAUCCUAGCUUUGGAUUCCUGAACUUGAAUGAAUAAGUACUUUUUUGAUUGCUACCCAUGUCUUCUGAAUGCCUGCAAUCAAACGAGUCUUUAGGUCCCUUGAAAAUAUGCACAUGUCAUAUGUGUUAUGAUUAUGAAAUGUUUUAUGUUUAUGUAUGUACAGUUGGGUAGGUGAUCAUUGGAACAUUCUGAUUAAUUACUUCAUGGAGGAAAGGUUCCAGGAAUAGGAAAACCAAACAGGUAGGCUCUAGGGUUUAAAAGGUUCCUAGAGUCAUGGACCCAAUUCAAGAAUAUUAUCGUCAGAACGACUAAUCGUAAGACAAUAAUAUCUUAAGAAGGAUCUAUUCUAGGUUAGGUCUUUAUAUUAACCCAACGAGUCCUAAGUCUCGUAGGUCAAUACUACACAACCAUCGACUCCACGGUUCUAGACACGGUUCCCAGAGUCAUGGAUCACACCUGACAAUAUUAUCGUCAGAACGACUACUCGUAAGACAAUAAUAUCCUCAAAAAUGAUCUAUUCUGAGUGAGGUCUUCGUAUUAACCCAACGAGUCCUAAGUCUCAUAGGUUAACACUACACAACCAUCGGUCCUAAAAGCCAUAGGUUCAGGGUUCUACAAAAGGUCCUCAGAAUCAUAGAUCGAGGUUGAAAGUAUCACCGCCAAAACGACUAAUCGUAAGACAGUAAUACUUUCAAGGGAUCUCAUCUGAGUGGGGUUCUCGCAUCAACCUAACGAGUCCGAUGUCUCGCAGGUCAAUACUACACAACCACCAUCCUAACUUAAGUUUUUCUCAUAGCUCGGGUAUAAAGCCUUUCCUCACACAAAUGCCAAUAGUCCAGAAAGUUCCAAUGGUACCAUAUAUCAAUAAUACAGUAAUUGGAAAUACAGAUAAUAAAGGCAUAUAUAGAUAAAAUAAAUCAGAAGCAAACAAACAAAUAAAAGCAAAAACUCAAACACAAAACAAACUAAAUUAGGGUUGACUCGCUUAGGAGAACGUUCGGUCCCCAGCAGAGUCGCCAGCUGUUGCGGCGCGAAAAAUACCCAAGCGUAGGGAACGCUCGAAAUAUAAAUAAAUCAGAGUCGCCACCGAACUUUAUUUAUUCCCAAAGAGGGAAAAGGGAAAUAUCGAUAAAACCCACAAAAAUAAAAAAAUAAAAAAGAAAUGGUCGUCGCAACUAAAUCGGGUUCGGGAGUCGGUUAUGCAAGGGGAAGGUAUUAGCACCCCUCACAUCCAUCGUACUCGAUGGGACCCAUUUAGUUAGUUUCGUGUUAGAGUCUUAACGUGAUAUCGUUUGCGAUCUUCUACUUAUCGGGUAAGGAAAGAGAAAGAAAGAAAGGAAAGACUUAGGUUUUUUAAUAUUAA
rnacentral:lncRNA from 1 species